rnacentral:rRNA from 1 species
UACGGAGGAUCCAAGCGUUAUCCGGAUUUAUUGGGUUUAAAGGGUGCGUAGGUGGCUUAUUAAGUCAGGGGUGAAAGACGGUAGCUUAACUAUCGCAGUGCCUUUGAUACUGAUGAGCUUGAAUGAACUAGAGGUAGGCGGAAUGUGACAAGUAGCGGUGAAAUUCGUAGAUAUUGGGAAGAACACCGGUGGCGAAGGCGGCUCACUGGCUCAUUACUGACGCUCAGGCGCGACAGCGUGGGGAUCAAACAGG